rnacentral:tRNA from 1 species
UAGCUCAGUCGGUUGAGCAUGGCACUGACAAUGCCAAGGCUGCCGUGAGUUCAAUUCCCGU